rnacentral:rRNA from 1 species
GAUGAACGCUGGCGGCGUGCCUAAUACAUGCAAGUCGAGCGAACGGACGAGAAGCUUGCUUCUCUGAUGUUAGCGGCGGACGGGUGAGUAACACGUGGAUAACCUACCUAUAUGACUGGGAUAACUUCGGGAAACCGGAGCUAAUACCGGAUAAUAUUUUGAACCGCAUGGUUCAAAAGUGAAAGACGGUCUUGCUGUCACUUAUAGAUGGAUCCGCGCUGCAUUAGCUAGUUGGUAAGGUAACGGCUUACCAAGGCAACGAUGCAUAGCCGACCUGAGAGGGUGAUCGGCCACACUGGAACUGAGACACGGUCCAGACUCCUACGGGAGGCAGCAGUAGGGAAUCUUCCGCAAUGGGCGAAAGCCUGACGGAGCAACGCCGCGUGAGUGAUGAAGGUCUUCGGAUCGUAAAACUCUGUUAUUAGGGAAGAACAUAUGUGUAAGUAACUGUGCACAUCUUGACGGUACCUAAUCAGAAAGCCACGGCUAACUACGUGCCAGCAGCCGCGGUAAUACGUAGGUGGCAAGCGUUAUCCGGAAUUAUUGGGCGUAAAGCGCGCGUAGGCGGUUUUUUAAGUCUGAUGUGAAAGCCCACGGCUCAACCGUGGAGGGUCAUUGGAAACUGGAAAACUUGAGUGCAGAAGAGGAAAGUGGAAUUCCAUGUGUAGCGGUGAAAUGCGCAGAGAUAUGGAGGAACACCAGUGGCGAAGGCGACUUUCUGGUCUGUAACUGACGCUGAUGUGCGAAAGCGUGGGGAUCGAACAGGAUUAGAUACCCUGGUAGUCCACGCCGUAAACGAUGAGUGCUAAGUGUUAGGGGGUUUCCGCCCCUUAGUGCUGCAGCUAACGCAUUAAGCACUCCGCCUGGGGAGUACGACCGCAAGGUUGAAACUCAAAGGAAUUGACGGGGACCCGCACAAGCGGUGGAGCAUGUGGUUUAAUUCGAAGCAACGCGAAGAACCUUACCAAAUCUUGACAUCCUUUGACAACUCUAGAGAUAGAGCCUUCCCCUUCGGGGGACAAAGUGACAGGUGGUGCAUGGUUGUCGUCAGCUCGUGUCGUGAGAUGUUGGGUUAAGUCCCGCAACGAGCGCAAUCCUUAAGCUUAGUUGCCAUCAUUAAGUUGGGCACUCUAAGUUGACUGCCGGUGACAAACCGGAGGAAGGUGGGGAUGACGUCAAAUCAUCAUGCCCCUUAUGAUUUGGGCUACACACGUGCUACAAUGGACAAUACAAAGGGCAGCGAAACCGCGAGGUCAAGCAAAUCCCAUAAAGUUGUUCUCAGUUCGGAUUGUAGUCUGCAACUCGACUACAUGAAGCUGGAAUCGCUAGUAAUCGUAGAUCAGCAUGCUACGGUGAAUACGUUCCCGGGUCU